rnacentral:rRNA from 1 species
AUACGUAGGGUGCGAGCGUUGUCCGGAAUUACUGGGCGUAAUGAGCUCGUAGGUGGUUUGUCGCGUCGUCUGUGAAAUUCCGGGGCUUAACUCCGGGCGUGCAGGCGAUACGGGCAUAACUUGAGUACUGUAGGGGAGACUGGAAUUCCUGGUGUAGCGGUGAAAUGCGCAGAUAUCAGGAGGAACACCGGUGGCGAAGGCGGGUCUCUGGGCAGUAACUGACGCUGAGGAGCGAAAGCAUGGGUAGCGAACAGGAUUAGAUACCCUGGUAGUCCAUGCCGUAAACGGUGGGCGCUAGGUGUAGGGGUCUUCCACGACUUCUGUGCCGUAGCUAACGCAUUAAGCGCCCCGCCUGGGGAGUACGGCCGCAAGGCUAAAACUCAAAUGAAUUGACGGGG